AUGCGACGAAAGGAGAGCAGGCUGCCCAAGAUGAAAAGCCCCACGUGGACAGGGGAGAGGCCACAAGAUGCAGGACUAGAAGAAAGAUCUCUAAUGAAGUGGCAUCUGAAAAGCCAGUUCCCUCUCUUGCCAAGGAUGAGAUACAAAUGUAAAAGACUUUACUUCAAUCAGCCCCAGCAAUCACAAAACAACUACAAAGUAUGUUUUAUGUAAUUAAUACCUGUGCAAG
rnacentral:lncRNA from 1 species